rnacentral:hammerhead_ribozyme from 1 species
CCACUGCUGAGGAGUCCCAUACUGGGACGAAACAGCUGUUCAGUGC